GAUGAACGCUGGCGGCGUGCCUAAUACAUGCAAGUCGAGCGAACAGAUGAGGAGCUUGCUCCUCUGACGUUAGCGGCGGACGGGUGAGUAACACGUGGAUAACCUACCUAUAAGACUGGGAUAACUUCGGGAAACCGGAGCUAAUACCGGAUAAUAUAUUGAACCGCAUGGUUCAAUAGUGAAAGACGGUUUUGCUGUCACUUAUAGAUGGAUCCGCGCCGCAUUAGCUAGUUGGUAAGGUAACGGCUUACCAAGGCGACGAUGCGUAGCCGACCUGAGAGGGUGAUCGGCCACACGGGAACUGGAACACGGACCAGACUCCUACGGGAGGCAGCAGUAGGGAAUCUUCCGCAAUGGGCGAAAGCCUGACGGAGCAACGCCGCGUGAGUGAUGAAGGUCUUCGGAUCGUAAAACUCUGUUAUUAGGGAAGAACAAAUGUGUAAGUAACUAUGCACGUCUUGACGGUACCUAAUCAGAAAGCCACGGCUAACUACGUG
rnacentral:rRNA from 1 species